CCUACGGGAGGCAGCAGUGAGGAAUAUUGGUCAAUGGCCGAAAGGCUGAUCCAGCCAAGUCGCGUGAAGGAAGAAGGAUCUAUGGUUUGUAAACUUCUUUUAUAGGGGCGUAAAGGUAUCCACGAGUGGAUAUUUGCAUGUACCCUAUGAAUAAGCAUCGGCUAACUCCGUGCCAGCAGCCGCGGUAAUACGGAGGAUGCGAGCGUUAUCCGGAUUUAUUGGGUUUAAAGGGUGCGUAGGUUGUUUUUUAAGUCAGCGGUGAAAGUUUGUGGCUCAACCAUAAAAUUGCCGUUGAAACUGGAAGACUUGAGUGUGGGUGAGGUAGGCGGAAUGCGGGGUGUAGCGGUGAAAUGCGUAGAUAUCACGAAGAACUCCGAUGGCGAAGGCAGCUUACUAGGCCAUAACUGACACUGAGGCACGAAAGCGUGGGGAGCAAACAGGAUUAGAUACCCGGGUAGUC
rnacentral:rRNA from 1 species